rnacentral:lncRNA from 1 species
AGCAUAGUUUGUGAUUUCAUAGUUUGUGAUUUCCUAAAUGAUGCCUAAGUUUGAUAUCAUACUUGUAUAAUUAACCAUUCUUGUAUAAAUCGAUGAAGAAAGUUGAACUACCAUGUAUUUAAGAAAUCUUGACAUAAAAAAGUGGAGACUUAUAGCAUACCUACAAAAUUUUGAGCCUUUUAUUUGCAGGAACAUAAUAUCCUGAUUAAGGCAUAACAUGGUAUAUUUGGUUUCAAUUUCAUUCAAUAUGUGAUUUAUGACACCUAGGGGAUGAUACAAUGGCAUUCAAUUCAUUAAAAGACCAAAUGCUUUGAGUCUAAAUCUUUUGAACCUUAAUUUGGGCCAUAUCCCAUCAACUUUUAAGCCUAGGAGCCUAAUUCAAGGGAAGAGGGUGGAGGGUGGAGGAAUGGGCUAGGAUGUGAAAGAAGGGUUUCGAGAUGUUGAUAAUAU